GGAUAUGAUGAUGCUUUUUGACACCCAGUCUUACUUCCAUCUCUUGAUUGAAGGUGGUGAUAAAGAUCGACCUUUUAUCUGAUCC